UCCAGUGCGCCACAGAUGAGUCUCGGGUCCGAGGGCGGUUAUGAAACCCUAAAUCAGAAAUAGAGUUUCUUCUUCCAAUUAAUGAAGCCUUCGUUGUAUAAAGUAGAAACAACAGAGCACAAAAGCUGCUUGCUUCGGGUUCUUGGAGAGGAAAGAGGUCUUACGAAGUUUUUAAUCUGGUCCUUUGUUUGUUUCCAGAAGAGAACUCCAGAUAUGGCAAAGCGCGAGAUAUCUAGUACUCUGAAGAACGUGAAGCAUGGUAAUAAUGGAAGGGGAUCCCCUUCCAGGAGCAGUUAUGGGACGGAUGUCAUUUCAAAGUUUUAAUCCUUCUGUUGAUGUGAGUUUAAAGAUCAAGUGAUCUGAACAUUUUUAUCUUAUGAACAGUCACCUCCUGAGCUUCUCUUAUGGCUUAUGCUCUCACACCAAAUCAAUUGUUUGGUAGAAACUAAAUGAAGAAGCAGCUAACGUCUGCCAGCCUGAAGUGUCUGAUGUGCAUGCCACUGGCUCCAGUGGUCAGAGUAGGACAUCUUUUAGAGAAAAUGGAUCAUCACAAGAUGAAGCAGGGUGUUCAAACGCUUUUAGGGGAAAAUCUGACAUAGACCUUAAAAGAAAACAGUCUGAAGUAGUAACUCAAUUACAGAAUCGGAAUAAAUCACCAAAAACUGAAGGUGGCCAGCAGCCAUCACCAAAUAGCAGAUAAGGCUCCUUCAAGCAACCAAAACAUGAAAAACUGGAUUGGAGUAUGCGCAGACCAAAAAGUCAAUACAAUCAAAACGAGAGAGGGUGAGAAUAAAUAGGUCAUUAGCUUAAAAAUUGUGGAAUUUUUUUUUUAUAAAAAAUUUAUUAUCAAGUUAUUAAAUUUGAUGUUAUAAUUGUUGUCCUUCUGAUUCUGCCUCUUGCAUUCUUUUUUUAAGCUAUUGAAUUUUACUCGGAAA